rnacentral:rRNA from 1 species
CCUACGGGAGGCAGCAGUGGGGAGUAUUGGGCAAUGGGCGAAAGCCUGACCCAGCAACGCCGCGGGAAGGAAGAAGGCUUUCGGGUUGUAAACUUCUUUUGACAGGGAAGGGCAGAAGACGGUACCUGUCGAAUAAGCCACGGCUAACUACGUGCCAGCAGACGCGGUAAUACGUAGGUGGCAAGCGUUGUCCGGAUUUACUGGGGGUAAAGGGCGCGUAGCCGGGCUGACAAGUCAGAUGUGAAAUCCGGGGGCUCAACCCCCGAACUGCAUUUGAAACUGUUGGUCUUGAGUAUCGGAGAGGCAGGCGGAAUUCCUAGUGUAGCGGUGAAAUGCGUAGAUAUUAGGAGGAACACCAGUGGCGAAGGCGGCCUGCUGGACGACAACUGACGGUGAGGCGCGAAAGCGUGGGGAGCAAACAGGAUUAGAUACCCUGGUAGUC